CCCUUAGAUGUUCUGGGCCGCACGCGCGCUACACUGAUGCAUUCAACGAGUUUUGUUUUUUCCUUGACCGAGAGGUCUGGGCAAUCUUUUGAACUUGCAUCGUGAUAGGGAUAGAUUAUUGCAAUUAUUAAUCUUGAACGAGGAAUUCCUAGUAAACGCAGAUCAUCAAUCUGCAUUGAUUACGUCCCUGCCCUUUGUACACACCGCCCGUCGCUCCUACCGAUUGAAUGUGUUGGUGAGGAGCUCGGAUUGGCAGCAGUUGGUGGUUCGCCACCGGCUAUUGCUGAGAAGUCCUCCAAACCGCCCCAUUUAGAGGAAGGAGAANUCGUAACA
rnacentral:rRNA from 1 species